rnacentral:rRNA from 1 species
ACGGGUGAGUAACGCGUAGAUAACCUGCCUCUAAGUUGGGGACAACACCUGGAAACGGGUGCUAAUACCGAAUGUGAUACUUGGGAUGCAUGUCCUAGGUAAGAAAGGUGGCCUCUUUACAAUGCUAUCGCUUAGAGAUGGGUCUGCGUCUGAUUAGCUAGUUGGUAAGGUAAAAGCUUACCAAGGCGACGAUCAGUAGCCGGUCUGAGAGGAUGAACGGCCACACUGGGACUGAGACACGGCCCAGACUCCUACGGGAGGCAGCAGUGGGGAAUCUUCCGCAAUGGACGAAAGUCUGACGGAGCAACGCCGCGUGAGUGAAGAAGGUUUUCGGAUCGUAAAGCUCUGUCUUUAGGGAAGAAUGUGCAGGUCGUGAAUAAUGAUUUGUAAUGACGGUACCUGAGGAGGAAGCCACGGCUAACUACGUGCCAGCAGCCGCGGUAAUACGUAGGUGGCGAGCGUUGUCCGGAAUUAUUGGGCGUAAAGGGCGCGUAGGCGGGAUAGUAAGUCUGUUUUAAAAGUGCGGGGCUCAACCCCGUGAUGGAAUAGAAACUACUAUUCUUGAGUGCAGGAGAGGAAAGUGGAAUU